rnacentral:lncRNA from 1 species
CAGUUUGCUCCUGAACAGUUUGCUCAGGGAUGGUUUGGGUUUCUGUUUGGGUUUCCAAAACAGUCUUUUCAGGAACUGUCUUAGAGGCCUUAGUGGGUGUUGGUUGCAUUUCACCACCUAGAUGUUUUUCUAAGUUGUGAAGGGUUGAGGAUUCUUGGUGUUGGGGGGUUUCUGAAGUAGUUGCAUCUGAAACUACUUCAGAGGCUUUUUGUGUGGUUGAGUUAUGUGGUGAGUUUGUUGUAGGUUCUGGGUUGGGUUGAGGUUGUUGUACACUAACAGGUUCAGGAUUAUCUGG